rnacentral:rRNA from 1 species
UACGUAGGGGGCAAGCGUUGUCCGGAUUUAUUGGGCGUAAAGAGCGUGUAGGCGGUUAGGUAGGUCCGUUGUGAAAACUCGAGGCUCAACCUCGAGACGCCGAUGGAAACCAUCUGACUAGAGUCCGGAAGAGGAGAGUGGAAUUCCUGGUGUAGCGGUGAAAUGCGCAGAUAUCAGGAAGGACACCCGUGGCUAAGGCGGCUCUCUGGGCCUUACCUGACGCUGAGGAGCGAAAGCGUGGGUAGCGAACAGG